GAGGCCGUUUGGGUGUGGGGUGAUACCCGUCCGCGCGCGGGUAAAUGUCGGUUUUCGCGGUCGCCGGCUUUGUUUUCGGAUCCAAUCCUAUCAAAUAGCGCCAGCUUCGCCGCCCUGGUGCCGGCCGGCGGCGCCCCCCGGCUGCAGCCGCCCGCCGCCCCACCGCCAGCCAUGCCGCUGGUCAGCCGCGCGCGCGUCUACGCAGAGGUCAACUUGCACCGGCCGCGUGACUACUGGGACUACGAGUCGCACGUGGUGAACUGGGGCCAACAAGAUGAUUAUCAACUGGUUCGCAAGCUGGGUCGGGGAAAGUACAGUGAAGUGUUUGAGGCAAUUAACAUCAACAACAAUGAAAAAUGUGUCGUGAAAAUAUUGAAGCCCGUGAAGAAGAAGAAGAUCAAGCGCGAAAUCAAGAUCUUGGAAAACCUGCGCGGCGGUACGAACGUCAUCACGCUGCAGGCGGUGGUGAAGGACCCGGUGUCGCGCACGCCGGCGCUGGUCUUCGAGUACGUCAACAACACCGACUUCAAGCAGCUGUAUCAGACGCUCAAUGACUACGACAUUCGGUUUUACCUGUACGAGCUGCUGAAGGCGCUCGACUACUGCCACAGCAUGGGCAUCAUGCACCGGGACGUGAAGCCCCACAACGUGAUGAUCGACCACGAGAACCGCAAGCUGCGCCUCAUCGACUGGGGCCUGGCGGAGUUCUACCACCCGGGCCAGGAGUACAACGUGCGUGUCGCCUCGCGCUACUUCAAGGGCCCCGAGCUGCUCGUCGACUACCAGAUGUACGACUACUCGCUGGACCUUUGGUCGCUUGGCUGCAUGUUGGCCUCGAUGAUCUUCAGGAAGGAGCCGUUCUUCCACGGCCAUGACAACUACGACCAGCUGGUGCGGAUAGCUAAGGUGUUGGGCACCGAGGAGCUGUUCGAGUACCUGGACAAGUACCAGAUCGAGCUGGAUCCACGCUUCAACGAUAUUCUCGGCAGGCACUCGCGCAAGCGCUGGGAGCGGUUCGUGCACGCCGACAACCAGCACCUGGUGUCGGCCGAGGCGCUCGACUUCCUCGACAAGCUGCUGCGCUACGACCACCAGGAGCGGCUGACGGCCCGCGAGGCCAUGGAGCACCAGUACUUCUACCCGAUCGUGAAGGACUCGGCGCGCCAGCAGUCGAUGUCGUCGUCGCCGACGUCACUGUCGGGCGCAGCCGGUGGCGGCCUGCCCAGCUCGCCGGUCAUGUCGCCGGCCGCGCCGUCGCCGGCCGCUGCUGGCCAGUGAGCCGCGCUGGCCGCGUGUGUCGGCACCCGUUGUGGCCCUGCGUCGGGCCCGUGUGAGCCGGGGCCGCGCUGCGUGCGGCCCUGGCCGGCUGAUGCCGCCACGCGGCUGCCUCCGCCGCCGGAGCUGAUGAUGAGUCCGGCUCGGCGGCUGCCGCGACUCCGGCUCCGUGGAGAGCAGCCGGCCAACUGAUCACGGCCGGGAAGGAGCUGUGGUGGUGUGGUAAGACGGCGGUCGCAACAGCUGCGAAACCUCCCGGCAGCGUCGAAGGGUGAGGCGAGACCCGGGACAGUUUGGUGCAACGUUAGCGACAGGUUCCUGUGAGGACUGGGUGCGGUGCGAUCGGCCCCGCGACAAGGGGAUAGAUUACGGGACAUCGUGGCGUAGGGGGAGAGGUUGGUAGCCAUCACACCAUGGCGGGACGAGUUCGGGCCUCUGCUGGGCGCAGCGGGACGAGCCUGGCCUCUGCUGGGCACGGCCCAACGAGCCUGGGCUCUGCUGGGCACAGCGGGACAGCGCGUGCCGGGCGGCGAUGUGUUACGUGUGCUGACGCACCUCACCUGCCACUGUUCUCGGGGGCAUAGUGUUCGCACGGACCGGGCUCUCUUCAGCGCCGAGGUUCGUGCCGAGUUUUGAACGCGAGCGGGGUUACGUUCCGGCUGGUGUUGUGCUGCGUCGCGCGUGCGCAUGCGUGCGGCGUUUUCACGUGCGUGAGAACUGUAGUCUGUUGUGAGCUGGCAUGCGCGCCGGGGAGUUCUGAGUUGUGAUGGAGGCGGUAGUCGGUCGGGUGUUCGGUUACGUGGAACCUGUGUCGAUCGCCUUUGCAGAGGUGGCGAAUGCCGCUGGCUUGCGCGUGUUGUGAAGUCUGGCGAGGGUCCGCGACCUGCCAGGACGGUGUGAAAGUCUGCCUGCUCAUGAGCUACCGCGCCCUGGGCUCCGCGGGGUCCGGGCGGGUCGGCAGACCUCCGGUUGCAUUGCUCCGUGUACUCAUAACGAGAGUAUUUAACAUUCUCCAUCAGUUGUGUUGAUCGUGUCUCACUUGUGUCAGCUGCAGCUAAUACAAGAUGCAAUGGACCUCGUGC
rnacentral:misc_RNA from 1 species